UACGUAGGGUGCAAGCGUUGUCCGGAAUUAUUGGGCGUAAAGAGCUUGUAGGCGGUUUGUCGCGUCUGCUGUGAAAUUUCGGGGCUCAACCCCGAACUUGCAGUGGGUACGGGCAGACUAGAGUGUGGUAGGGGAGACUGGAAUUCCUGGUGUAGCGGUGAAAUGCGCAGAUAUCAGGAGGAACACCGGUGGCGAAGGCGGGUCUCUGGGCCGAUACUGACGCUGAGGAGCGAAAGCGUGGGAGCGAACAGG
rnacentral:rRNA from 1 species